UACAGAGGGUGCGAGCGUUGUCCGGAAUCACUGGGCGUAAAGGGCGCGUAGGUGGCCUGGUAAGUAGGGGGUGAAAUCUCGUGGCUCAACUGCGAGGCUGCCUCCUAAACUGUCAGGCUCGAGCAGAGUAGAGGCAGGCGGAAUUCCAGGUGUAGCGGUGAAAUGCGUAGAUAUCUGGAGGAACACCGGUGGCGAAGGCGGCAUCCUGGACCGACACUGACGCUGAGGAGCGAAAGCCAGGGGAGCAAACGGG
rnacentral:rRNA from 1 species